GCCAAGCUGUGGUGUUGUGUGCUAGAUUUUGAUACAAAAGUAUUACAUAGCUUUACUUCUAAUGCAGAUGGUGAAUCUUAGAAAUAUACUGUCCUGCCUAUUGCAUUAUGCUGUCAGCUCUUGGACGUCAUUGUCUGGUCCAUAAAGCCCUGGGACCGCCUAGAAGAACUGGCAGCUGAACUAUGAGUUAUGUUCAGGAUGAAGAUGAUGCUUGGACUGUAACUUCCAGAAUUUGUCAUUGAAGCAAACAGUUUCAGAAGAUGCAUAAGGAGAACACACAGAACAAUGGUGCGAGCUUUCCAGUCAGAAUUGGAAAGCAAAACAGGGAUUAAUUCUCAGCAACAAAAACGUAAAGAAGUGGAGUGGAACCCUGAGGAGCAGAAGCAGAAUAUUGGAGAACAGUGGCUCUUCUGUAUUCAAUCAGAGGUCCAAAUCCAGUGACAGAAGAUGGCUACUUAAGAUAGUUCCUACAGUUCAUCCUUCGCAAAGAAAACAGCCACUGUGGGGACCUUUGUAAACUCUUCGGUGCAUAGUUUGCCAUACUAGUAUUAGAAUAUAUAUUUCCAGUAUAAAGAUGACCUUUGCUACGUGUCUAAGAAUAGGAUUGUUCCAAUGGGAAACUUCAGCUGCUCAUUAACAAUCAGAGUUUCUCCCAGAGACAUGAAUAGCUACUUCACUGACAUGUAGAAGCAGCUAAAAGACUUUCAGAUAGCAGGGAUGGAGGUGAGGCUGACCGGCCUGUAGUUUCCUGGGUCUUCCUUCUUGCC